GAAACUUUGCAAGGGGAAAUGGGAGGCAAUUCUCUCCUUGCAGAAUCUCCUGAAAAACACGGUCUGGUUGUCCAAGAAAUCCCUAGUUGGUCCUUCAGGGCUGCAUUUCUAGACCAAGAGAUUAUCAUCCUCAUCGACAAUCUGGGCUAUCUCUCUUGUGAACCUUCCUUUUUUCAGAGAGGUUAGAGCUGCUCCAAUUGGACCGUGUAGGCUCAUUUUCCAUGUUAAGAAGUGGUCCGGUCUUAUCUGGAGAUAUCUUUCACAAUUCUAUAGUGUUUUGUCAGGAUUUCAAUUUCUAACCUCUUUGACACAAGCACGACAGAGAUAACUCCUUGCCCUUCUCUAAAUCCUGGUUGACCAACUCAGUGUUCAAUGGAAUGUUCUUUUUCUUUCACUCAACUGAUAUAAAACAACUAAAGGAUUUAUGCAGCACAUCACACCAGCAUUUUAAAAGUCAAUAAAAUAGCUAAAUAAAAUAAAAAGCUAAAAUAAAGUAGAAUGCAACUACAGGUCACACAAUGAAAUACAAUAAAAUAGUUUAAAAUGAAAGUUAAUAUUAAAAUCACAAACAUAUAAAAUGGACAUAUAAAUUUAUACAACACUCAUUCCAUUGAACAUAGAUGUCUGGGAUAUCUUGGGAUUCAAAAGCAAAACAAAAGAAAACUACCAUGCAUUGGAAGACCUAAAACGGCGAGGUUUAUCUCUCUGCCCUUUCUAACGUGAUCAGAUGAAUGGCUUUGUGAACGCAAACUGACGAUAACACUAUAGACCCACCUAAAAACUUUGAGAGAAAAUUCCAUCCAACUUCAAAACAAUUUCACUUCCUAUGCUUUGUUUAAGAACGUCUGACACACUGAGUAUUUUGUCCUCAAAGUUUUCAAUCUGUACAGCUUUGGGAGGCUGCCACUCUGGACUGGAACUUUCCUGGAUGAGGUAGGCCCUGGUAGAAGCAGAGGUAGGUGCGGGUCAGAAGGGAGAAAUUUUCUAAAUUCCCAGCAAGGGUGGUGGCGGGGAGGGGAGGCGUUCAAGGGAUGUCCUCUGGGUGGCUCUGGGAGCCGGCAAGUGUUGCCUCGGUGGCUUUCAGUGCAUUUACUCCUGCCUUAGCUUUUCCACUUCAAAAUCUUUUUGAAGAUUUUUGUUUUGUAGAUUUUGUAGGAUUUUUGUUCCCGACACGGAACAAGGAGAGAAUCGGCGUUCCUAAAUCCGGGGAAGAAAUCAGGCGGAGGGGUAGCGGAGCAAGAAGAAUUCACGUGAUGUUGCCUGCCGUCUGAGUCGUGGGCACUGCCCUUGCUGCCCCUUAUUGCAGCGGGGGGAAGCAGGGGCAGUCCGCACCCCUAAAUUUGAGGAUCCAAGGCCUCCAGUCAAGCCACCUCUAACGUCAUCCUGGACGCUGAACACCCGGAGGGAACCCAUCCUGAAGCACUGCUGCCUCCACCCUAAGGACCCCAACCUAAGGACCCCCGCCCUCCAUCCAAGCCAGCUCCAACUUCUUCCUGGACUCACAACACCCCGCUGGAAGCCCUCCUGAAGCACUCCUGCCUCAACCCUAAGGACUCCAGCCAAGCCAGCUCCAACUUCUUCCUGGACUCUCAACACCCUGAGGGAAACCAUCCUGAAGCACUCCUGACUCCAUCCCAACCACAAACAACCCCACACCCAGGCCACAAGAUGUCUUCUGGGCCUGGCGUUGUCUCUGACCUUCCUGUCCACUUCUCCACCUCCAACCCUCCCACCCUCCCGCCCCCCCACCCCAUACCCAAUCCUGAUCACCCUGUCCACCUACCCCCCUCCAAACCCUAGCCACCUCUCCCCCAUUAAACACCCCCGACACCACCCCUGCCAGCUAUUCAGAAGUAAGCUUUUCUUCCCCAGAACUCUUUGUUAGUGAUUAAAUGUUGUUCAAAUCCCAUCUCACA